CACGCACUGGGUUGGUGCCAUAACUCUUCAUGUAUGACAUCGCUAUCGUCCUUCGAAAUGUGAGGAGCUCUGUUU
rnacentral:lncRNA from 1 species